rnacentral:rRNA from 1 species
AGAGUUUGAUUCUGGCUCAGAUUGAACGCUGGCGGCGUGCUUAACACAUGCAAGUCGAACGUGAAAGUCCUUCGGGGCGAGUAAAGUGGCGCACGGGUGAGUAACGCGUGGAUAAUCUACCCUUAAGAUGGGGAUAACGGCUGGAAACGGUCGCUAAUACCGAAUACGCUCCCGAUUUUAUCGUUGGGGGGAAAGAUGGCCUCUGCUUGCAAGCUAUCGCUUAAGGAUGAGUCCGCGUCCCAUUAGCUAGUUGGCGGGGUAACGGCCCACCAAGGCAACGAUGGGUAGCCGGUCUGAGAGGAUGACCGGCCACACUGGAACUGGAACACGGUCCAGACUCCUACGGGAGGCAGCAGUGGGGAAUAUUGCGCAAUGGGCGAAAGCCUGACGCAGCGACGCCGCGUGAGGGAUGAAGGUUCUCGGAUCGUAAACCUCUGUCAGGGGGGAAGAAACCCCCUCGUGUGAAUAAUGCGAGGGCUUGACGGUACCCCCAAAGGAAGCACCGGCUAACUCCGUGCCAGCAGCCGCGGUAAUACGGAGGGUGCAAGCGUUAAUCGGAAUCACUGGGCGUAAAGCGCACGUAGGCGGCUUGGUAAGUCAGGGGUGAAAUCCCACAGCCCAACUGUGGAACUGCCUUUGAUACUGCCAGGCUUGAGUACCGGAGAGGGUGGCGGAAUUCCAGGUGUAGGAGUGAAAUCCGUAGAUAUCUGGAGGAACACCGGUGGCGAAGGCGGCCACCUGGACGGUAACUGACGCUGAGGUGCGAAAGCGUGGGUAGCAAACAGGAUUAGAUACCCUGGUAGUCCACGCUGUAAACGAUGGGU